GACAGAGGUGCCAAGCGUUAGGCGGAAUCACUGGGCUUAAAGCGUGUGUAGGCGGAAUGGUAAGUACCUUGUGAAAUCCCACGGCUCAACCGUGGAACUGCUGGGUAUACUGCUUUUCUUGAGCCACUUAGGGGCUGUCGGAACAAACGGUGGAGCGGUGAAAUGCGUAGAUAUCAGGAGGAACACCGGUGGCGAAGGCGGGUCUCUGGGCCGUAACUGACGCUGAGGAGCGAAAGCAUGGGGAGCGAACAGG
rnacentral:rRNA from 1 species